CUAAGUUUGAUGGCGACCGGCGCACGGGNGAGUAACACGUAUCCAACCUGCCGAUGACUCGGGGAUAGCCUUUCGAAAGAAAGAUUAAUACCCGAUGGCAUAGUUCUUCCGCAUGGUAGAACUAUUAAAGAAUUUCGGUCAUCGAUGGUGAUGCGUUCCAUUAGGUUGUUGGCGGGGUAACGGCCCACCAAGCCUUCGAUGGAUAGGGGUUCUGAGAGGAAGGUCCCCCACAUUGGAACUGAGACACGGUCCAAACUCCUACGGGAGGCAGCAUG
rnacentral:rRNA from 1 species